rnacentral:rRNA from 2 species
GACCUCAAAUCAGGUAGGACUACCCGCUGAACUUAAGCAUAUCAAUAAGCCGGAGGAA